UCCCAGCAUCAGCCUACACCGAACCCUGU
rnacentral:piRNA from 1 species